GUGGGUAUAGCACAGCCGGUUAGCGCGCCAGAUUGUGGUUCUGGAGGUCGAGGGUUCGAACCCCUCUAUCCACC
rnacentral:tRNA from 1 species